UUUUUUUGUUUUGUUUUGUUUUKUUUUAAACAGAUUUCCUAAACCUCAAAAAUGUUAGAUUCAAAAGGGGAGCUGUUCAAAUGCUUAUUGAAAUCUCUGCAAUUUAUUUUUCCAGGGUUAACUUUGGGAAGUGAACAAAGCUCAUAGUCCUGUAUUUUGUUAGUUAACAUUUAAAAUUGCUUGGAAGAAAUCCCCCAAUUCAUGAAGAGACAGGAAUGCCAAAGGUGGGAUGGGCUACAUAAACACAGUGCCCCCACACUAAUACUACUACUUCGGACUUCCUCCAAACUAUUGCUGGGGAGACGGGCACAGAGCAAGCUGUGGAAAAUUCCAAUUUUCCUAGUUCCAGCCUCACCACUGGAGCACACUUGGACUGGGCUGAUUGCAGAGAGAGUGCGCCCCAGCGCUGUGAGAGACAUGUAUCUUACUAGAUACAAGACUGAGGAGUCCUGGGUCACCUAUGCUCUUAGCAGUUUACAGAGCAAACUGAGUAACCUGCGAAGUGAGAGGGCUUUCGAAUCCAGCU
rnacentral:lncRNA from 1 species